AUAUCUCUCUGUACGGGAAGGAUGAGAAGCUUCGACUAAGGUUCGAUUCGAGCGAAAGCGAGAAAGCGUUGCCGCAGGCAACGACCCGAAGGGCGAAGCGCGCAGCGCUGAGUCAUCCUUCCCCACCACCA
rnacentral:sRNA from 1 species